rnacentral:piRNA from 1 species
UCAGAAUGGUGGUCUGUAUUCCUAUGU